AACGAACGCUGGCGGCAGGCCUAACACAUGCAAGUCGAACGCCCCGCAAGGGGAGUGGCGCACGGGUGAGUAACGCGUGGGAAUAUGCCCUUCGGUUCGGAAUAACACAGGGAAACUUGUGCUAAUACCGCAUACGAUCUACGGAUGAAAGAUUUAUCGCCGAGGGAGUAGCCAGCGUAGGAUUAGCUAGUUGGUGAGGUAAUGGCUCACCAAGGCGACGAUCCUUAGCUGGUCUGAGAGGAUGAUCAGCCACACUGGGACUGAGACACGGCCCAGACUCCUACGGGAGGCAGCAGUGGGGAAUGUUGGACAAUGGGCGAAAGCCUGAUCCAGCCAUGCCGCGUGAGUGAUGAAGGCCUUAGGGUUGUAAAGCUCUUUCGCCAGGGAAGAUAAUGACGGUACCUGGAAAAGAAGCCUCGGCUAACCCCGUGCCAGCAGCCGCCGCAG
rnacentral:rRNA from 1 species